AUUGAACGCUGGCGGCAUGCCUUACACAUGCAAGUCGAACGGCAGCACGGGAGCAAUCCUGGUGGCGAGUGGCGAACGGGUGAGUAAAGUAUCGGAACGUGCCCAGUCGUGGGGGAUAACGUAGCGAAAGUUACGCUAAUACCGCAUACGAUCUAUGGAUGAAAGCGGGGGAUCGCAAGCCCUCGCGCGAUUGGAGCGGCCGAUAUCAGAUUAGGUAGUUGGUGGGGUGAAGGCUCACCAAGCCGACGAUCUGUAGCUGGUCUGAGAGGACGACCAGCCACACUGGGACUGAGACACGGCCCAGACUCCUACGGGAGGCAGCAGUGGGGAAUUUUGGACAAUGGGCGAAAGCCUGAUCCAGCCAUGCCGCGUGCAGGAUGAAGGCCUUCGGGUUGUAAACUGCUUUUGUACGGAACGAAAAGGUUUGGCCUAAUAAGCUGAGCUCAUGACGGUACCGUAAGAAUAAGCACCGGCUAACUACGUGCCAGCCGCCGCGGUAA
rnacentral:rRNA from 1 species